UCGUCAAUGCUAUUAAAGUGCCAAUUACCAAAUCAGCCUUGGCGAUUUGAUAUUUCAAAAAAGUGAAACAUAAUUCAAAUCACAAUGAUUCAGAUAUUUAGAUUCGAGCAGAAAUAACUAAAGAACUGAACUCACAUAUACAUGAUACACUGCAUAAAUCGUACAACUAGUGUUAAACUACGCAUCUAUCUAUGACUUUUAUGUAUAUCCAAGGGAACGUGCUGAGAAGUAAGAAGAAAAAACUAGAGAGGAAGGCUGACCACCGCAUAUGGGGCGACGCCGGGAGCCUCAAUUUGACUAAUAAUAACUACCGAACUGAAUUCAUACAUAAUAAACAACAAAAAAUUGCACCACUCAGGUUCGACUCCACAUCUAUGACGUUAUAUAUAUCAAAGGGAAUAAGCUUAGAAGUAAGAAGAAAUACUAGAGAGGAAGACUGACCCCGCACGGGCCAGGAUGUAAGGGCGUGAGCAAGUGAAGGGUCAUGAAAAUCAAGAGGAAGCACAAAAUUCUGAUAAGAGAGGAGGAGGGAGAAGAAAGCAGUUUUGCCAUUGCUUUUGAGUUCUUUCAAGCGCUUUCCUUUUUUUUUUUCCAUGUAUGUAUAUAUAAGCCCCACAAGAAUCAUUAGUCAUAACAUUAGAUGGACAACAACAACAUCGUACUUUAAUUACUUGGGACGCAGCACCCAUGACUCUGGCCCCUGGCUUUUGAACAGGUCAAUCAGUAAAUGCGUAAGAGACGUGCUUAAUGAGUGAAUCUCCCCAAGUCCUCUCACACCAAUUUCAUCCCGUUCAAACUCGGGAUAUGUCAAAAAAGUGAAACAUAAUUCAAAUCGCAACUAUUCAGAUAUAUGGAUCCGAGUAUGAAUAACAACCGAACUGAACAAAAAAGUGAAACAUAAUUCAAAUCGCAACUAUUCAGAUAUAUGGAUCCGAGUAUGAAUAACAACCGAACUGAACUCACAUAUACGUAAUACACAGCAUAAAUACAACUAAUGUUUGACUUCACACCUGUCGAUGACUUCUAUGUAUAUCCAAAGGAACGAGCUUAGGAGUAAGAAGAAAUAACUAGAGAGGAAGACUGACCCCUGCAUAUGGGGCGACUUUCUUCUCUCCCUGUAGCUCGUGCGAGCAAGUGAAGGGUCAUGAAAAUCAAGAGAAAGCACAACAUUCUGAUAAGAGAGGAGGAGGAGAAGGAGGAGGAGAAGGAGGGAGAAAGCAGUUUUGCCAUUGCUUUGAGUUAUUUCGAGCUCUUUCCUAUUUUUGCAUGUCUAUGUAUAUAUAAGCACUACAAGAAUCAUUACUCAUAACGUUGUGUGAACAACAACGUCGCACUUAAUUACUUGGGAUGCAACACCCGUGACUCUGGGUCUCUCUGGCUUUUGAACAAGUCAACAGCUAAAUGCGUCGGAGACGAGCUGAAAGAGUGAACCCCGCCAAGUGCUCUCACGUCAAUCUCAUCCCGUUCAACCUCGGGCCACGUUCACAAAGCACUCCCAAAACACUAUUAAUUUGAUCUUAUAUAACAAAAGAACGUCCUUUUUUUCUUCUUUUUUUCCAAAAUAUUGAUUAUAUAUAUCAUAGAAGAAAAGAAGAAGCCGAGAUCUAGGGAUAUUAAAAUAAAAAAAAUAAACCGUUCAAACUGAAAAUUUCGAGUUGGAUUUACUUACGUUUUGGGUAACAAGUAAAACAAUGGAUUUUUGAUGGUUCGGUUCGCUCAUAAAAUCAACUCUAAACACUUAAUUAAACGAAAGAGUGAUGGUGCAAUUUGCACCACGUAUUUUGCCGAGGACUUUGGAUGACUUGCUUGUCCGGUCCAUAGGAUAUCAAGAAAGAUCCCCCUCAGUGAAAAAGACAUUGGCUACUAGAGGUCGCCACAUCUGACUUUUGCUAUUACUCUGUACUACUUUGCUCUGCUCCCGCUACUCUAUUUCAAUUUCUUCUCUCAAUGGAAAUGAAAGAAAUAAAUGAACGAAGCAUAGAAAACAUAAAACAUAAAAUCUCAAGUUGGUCUCAACUUUAGAGUACCAAAUGAAACUAUUCUUACUGAUGAAGAAGAAGAAAUAAACUCCCCCCACCUUUUUUUAUUUAUUUCAAUCACGCCAAUGAACUCAGAAAAGAAAAAAAAAACACAGCUUCUUCCCUUCUUGAUCUCCUAACUCAGAAAUUGUAUUCAAAUAGACUUGUAUGAUCUCAUAAUUUACAUAAAGAAAGAUAAAUCAUAUGUAUUUCCCUUGGCUUGAAUAGCUCGACAAAAAAUUAGAAAAGGAUAGCAAAAAUGAAUGGAAGAAAAUGAACGCUAGCCAAUAAUUUCCUUGAGCUGAGAGAGAGAGAGAGAGAGAGAGAGAGAGAGAGAGAGAGAGAGAGAGAGAGAGAGAGAGAUAAACACAUAAUUAAUUGAAAGGGUGGCGGUGCAAUCUACACCACAUAUUUUGUCGAAGACCUUGGAUGACUUGCUUGUUUGGUCUAGUAGGAUAUCAAGAAGGACCCCUCAAUGAAAAAGAUAUUGGCUACUUGAGGCCGCCACUUCUGACUUUUGCAAUUACUCUACACUCCUUUGCUAUGCUCUCGCUACUCUCUUUCAAUUUCUUCUCUCAAUGGAAAUGAAAGAAAUAAAUGAACAAAGCACAUAAAACAUAAUAGCUCGACAAAAAAUCAGAAAAGAAUAGCAAAAAUUAAUGGAAGAAAACAAACGCUAGCCAGUAAUUUCCUCAAGCCGAGAGAGAGAGAGAGAGAGAGAGAGAGAGAGAGAGAGAGAGAGAGAGAGAGAGAGAAUUAUAUGAAAGAGUGACGGUGCAAUUUGCACCACAUAUUUUAUCGAAAACCCUGGAUGACUUGCUCGUCUGGUCCAGUAGGAUAUCAAGAAGGAUCCCUCUCGGUGAAAAAGACAUUGUCUACUUGAGACCACCACAUCUGACUUUUGCUAUUACUUUGCACUAAUCUGCUAUGCUCUGCUCUCGCUUCUCUCUUUCAAUUUCUUCUCUCGAUGGAAAUGAAAGAAAUAAAUGAACGAAUCACAGAAAACAUAAAACAAAAUAUCUCAAGUUGGUCAUAACUUCAGAGUGUCAAAUGAAACUAUUCUUAUUGACGAAGAAGAAGAAAUAAAUUCCCCCCACCCUUUUGAUUUCAAUUGCGCCAACGAACUCAGAAAAGACAAAAAAACACAACUUCUUCCCUUCUCAAUCUCCCAACUUUGAAAUUGUAUUCUAAUAGACUUGUAUGAUCUCAUAAUUUACAUAAAGAAAGAAAAAUCUAUGUAUUUUUCUUGGCUUGAGUAGCUUGACAAAAAAUCAGAAAAGAAUAGUAAAAAUUAAUGGAAGAAAACAAAUGCUAGCCAAGAAUAGUAAAAAUUAAUGGAAGAAAACAAAUGCUAGCCAAUAAUUUGCUUGAGCCGAGAGAGAGAGAGAGAGAGAGAGAGAGAGAGAGAGAGAGAGAGUCCUUGGGGAGGCAAUAACUUGUGCUCCAUGAUUCCAUGUUUGCUCUAUACCUUUAAGGUUUCGUUCGUUUCAAGAAAAAUAUAGCGUUUUUGCAAAAUGUUCUUUAGAAAGUCAUUUUAAAGUAAUCAUAUUUUCUGUUGUUCGGUUAAAACUUGAAAAAUGAACUGUAAAUUAUUUUUUGGUAUUCAGUAAGGAAAAUCUUUUCCUCCAUGCAUAUGGGCGACUCCAUGGGCCUCGUGCGAGCAGGUGACCUGAAACACAUAACUGAAUAUGCUUCGAAACCAAAAUAAUCGGAGUAAAAUGCUAAACACGUUGACGAACAUAGAAAAAGGAACCACAACUUUCUUGCCGGCUUGUCCAAUUUUCGACCCUCCAUCUGCGGUCGUCUCCAUUGUCGCCUUUGAUCCCGUCGUCUCCAUCGUGGCCUUCAAUCCCGUUGGAUAUGCCGGUGUCGUGGCCUCUACCGUCAUCCUCACCGCCUCUGUUGUAGCUGAUGUAAUAUGAGCGCGGAAUCUAACCGGAACUCAGGUCUCGCCGGCUUCUUCCUGUUCUUUGUGCGGGGGUGACAUACUUCACCGAAAGGAGAAUUCGAUCCGGGUAGGGAAUGAACGAGGCUAGCCAAAGUAUACUUUUAUGCCCGCAAUACAGUUUGGGGAGAUGGGAUAGUGACUCUUGCCGUGGCUAAGGAAUAACAUCCUAUCUGAUUUCAGGGGCAGCUAUAUUUGCUCAAAUAGAGUGUGAGAAGUGCAAUAAGAUGAGCCACUCUAACUCAAGUCAGCCAGCCAUGGCGUAAUUGCACGUGAGAAAGUGAUAUCUGUGAUUCGUGACUCCAUAUAUAAAUCGACCUCGGUCGAAUUGGCGUACUAUCGCACAUCUCUUAUGAAUGAUUUUCAUCGUCACAUAAAAAUUAUUCUUGAAGAAAAGACGUAAAAGAAAGAGCCCUCAUAUGGGAGGUGUAAUUUCUGCUCAUGUAGUCCUUUUAGUUUUUAACGUUAUGAGUAGGGGCUCCAGGAGAAUGACUGCCAUCAGCAGGUGUAUAGCCACUCGGAGCUGUAGGGCCACGAUGAAAACCUUCCUGUCCUUGUGCUGCAACAAUCCAUGCCACGGCGCAAGUCGAGAAACAGAGAGAGAACUUGCCGGAGUAGGGCAAGACCGGAACCCACGGAUCAGCAGAGCUUCGAGGGAGGGAGCCGAAGGUCAUGAUCAACAUGGAACAACAGAUGAGGGUGACGAUACGGGAAGAGGAGGAACGAGCCUUGCUCAUUGCCAUCCUUCAAGUUUUGACCUUGUUAUGGACUUCUGGGAUGCGAGAUGGUAAAGUACUAGUUGCAAUUUAUAAUGACAGAUGAGAUUGCCAAAUGAGAUUUAUUCCUUAUUUGAGUGGGGCACGAGUUUGACGAAGAAGCUAGGUGGGUUAAAUACCGACUCACUAUAUAGUGAAUUGAUUACAACAUUGACCCAUGCUCGUGCUGUUUUUUUUUUUGGCUCUCCUUUAAGAUGCCAUUUGUUUCAUGAAAAAUAAGUUAUUUGGAAAAUAUUUUUCUAAAAAUUAUCGCUUAUAUUGUUUACAAACAUAAAUAAACGAAGAAUAUUUUCAUUGUUUACGAAAAUAUCGAGACAUAAAUUGUUAUCGGUAAUAAAGUCAUUUUUCAUCGAUAUUAGUUGAAGGAUGAGAUUGCCAAAUGAGAUUUAUUCCUUAUUUGAGUGGGGCACGAGUUUGACGAAGAAACUAGGUGAGUUAGAUACCGACCCACUAUAUAGUGAAUUGAUUACGACAUUGACCCAUGCUCGUGCUGGUUUUUUUUUUACUGUUUAGCAUUCUUUUUCGGCUCUCUUUUAAGAUGCCAUUUGUUUCAUGAAAAAUAAGUUAUUUGGAAAAUAUUUUUCUAAAAAUUAUCGCUUAUAUUGUUUACAAACAUAAAUAAACGAAGAAUACUUUCAUUGUUUAUGAAAAUAUCAAGACAUAAAUUGUUAUCGGUAAUAAAGUCAUUUUUCAUAGAUUAAUAUUAUCAGUUGAAUCAAAUCCAUGUACUCUAGCUAGAAUUGAUCUUGGCAUCCACUGCAUACUAGAAGGUAAACAUAAUUCAAUUAAGGUAAUCCUGAUGAAUUGAAUGAUGUGGUCUCCUCUCUCUCUCUCUCUCUCUCUUUUUUUAGACACUUGCGCUUCGAUUUCAAUUCCAAUUUUAAUAGUUUGUAAUUAUAAUAUAAGUCGAUCAUGAGAGUAAAAUAAAAGAAAGUAUAAUAACUUAUAUAAUCUAUCGAGAUCUCAUAAAUAAUCAAACACAUAAAAAUGAUAGCUGAUUAAAGACUAUUCUCUCCGUAUCCUCAACACCAUUCCUCUAACUUCCACUUCUCCUCAGAAAUAUGAUAUAAUACCAAUUUUCAAAACUCUAUCUCCAUAAUUAAAAUCCCAAUAGUCAUCCAAUAACUUCUUUCUAUCCAUUAACAGAAAAAGAUGAGAUUUGUAUAAUGCUUAAUCCAUCUGCCGUCGUCUCCACGUCGCCUUUGAUCUCGUCGAAUAUGCCGUCGUCUCCAUCGUUGCCUUCAAUCCCGUUGGAUUUGCCGGUGUCGUGGCCUCUACCGUCAUCCUCACUGCCUCUGUUGUAGCUGAUGUAAUAUGAACGCGGAAGCUAACCGGCACGCACGUCUCGCCGGCUUCUUCUUGUUCUUCGUGCGGGGGCUCCUAAAGGAGAGCUGCUGUGGGGUUGGUUAGCCGCGCGUGUGAAGAAAAAGAAAGCCAUCAGAGAAAAAUAAAAUUUAUUUCAAGACCACUUCUCACCGCCGCAAUUAAAUUCAGAUUGGUUUAUUUCAAUGAAAUCUUCAUGAUAGAGAAAAUUAUUUUCUUGAAAAUUAUUUUGAAGAAAAAUGGUUAGUUUCUAUUAUUUGAUGGUAUAUAGAAAGUAAUUUCCUUCUUGCCAAAAUGGGAAGUUGUUUUCGCCCAUAUCGAACUGACUGUCGAGCAAAGGAGGGAAUAUUCUCGGCGAACGGUGACAUACUUCACCAAAAGGAGAAUUCGAUCUGGGUAGGGAAUGAACGGGGCUAGCCAAAGUAUAUUUUUUAUGCCCGCAAUACAGUUUGAGGAGAUGGGAUAGUGACUCUCGCCAUGGCUAAGGAAUAACAUCCUCUUUGAUUUCGGGGACAUAGCUAUAUUUGCUCAAAUAGAGUGUGAGAAGUGCAAUAAGAUGAGCCACUCUAACUCAAGCCAACCAGCCAUGGCAUAAUUGCACGUAAGAAAGCAAUAUUUAUGAUUAACGACUACGUAUAUAAAUUGACCUCGGUCGAAUUGGCAUGCUACAACACGUUUCUUAUGAAUGAUUUUCAUCGUCAUGUAAAAAUUAUUCUUGAAGAAAAGACGUAAAAGAAAGAGCCCUCAUAUGGGAGGUGUGACAUUCUGAUUUUCAACCUUGUUUUCAACUAAAUGAAAUGGGUUUUUUAUCGACGCGCCUAUAGUCUUUUUCUCUGAGUUGAUCACUUACGAGAUAACUAAUCCAUCGGGUGAAGCUGUUAAGGAAUAUAAACGCGACUAAUUUGAGAAUUCGAUCAGAAAUCGAUUGCUCAACCGUGCUAAUCUGCAAGGGUCAAUACGGCACCGAUAAAAUCGAUUAGAGAUCGGUGAUAGGUCGAUUCAACAUAGGCAUGUGAUUAAAGUGUGGGUGAUUCUACCUGAUUUCAAAAUGUUUGUAGAACGGUACUAAACCAAUUUUUCUGUCGUUUCUGUACCCUGUGCCCGUAAUUGAAACCUUGAGAUUUUCACGACAAUUGAGAGUUGCCUAUGGGUUAAAGAUGCACAAUGUGGAUCGAAAAUAAUUGACCAUGGAUCAAAUGCACUAAAAAUUCAUAAAAGCUACUCCGUAGGUUAGGUCACGCUAAAAUCGCGUCCGGUUGAAAUUAACCAUGAAAUUGAACCCGGUUUCAGGAAUCGAAAGUUCUGGUAUGUCAUGAUUUAUUUUAGGAAUAUCAACUCAUCUUUUGAAGAAUUUUCGGCAAGCCCGGAUUUUCGGUGAAAAAUCAAAAUUGGACGAUUUUGGACCAAGAAAUUCGGAGGGCCAUGUUUGGGUGCAAUUUUGGCCUCCAAGUUGGAUCAAAUGGUGAUGGGAAUGCAAGAAUUUGGUGUGGGCUCCUACCUUGGCAUUGUAGCCAUUUAAUUGAAGUCAAUUGGAAUGAAAUUGAAUUGAAUUGAAGGUGAAAUGGUUGAAAUUCGUAGGCCAUGGGGGGCUGCAACAUUUCGGCAUCAUCCUUGGCUUCUUGGAGAAGAUUGGGAGGGGAAAUGGCUGCUGGGUUGCGGCUGAAGGUUGGUGGGGGCUACACUCAAGUGUUUGUGAUAUUUUGGCUUGACUUAGUGACUUCUUGUCCCCCUCAAGCCAGCAGCAGACUAUCUUCUUCUUCCUCAGCUUCUUCUUCCAUUUCUCUAGCUGCAAAUCUCCAUUUCCAGAGCAAGAAAACUAGCCAAGCCAGUUGCCCAAGCCAGCUGCUCGCCUGCCAGCCCACCGUGUCGCCACAUGCUUGCCGAUCACCGCAAGCCAACUCCCUCGUGUCCGUGUUUCCAGCCCACGUUGCGCAUCGCUCGUGCUUAGUUCGCGCCCUUAGCCACUCGUCGCCGUCCACCUGCCGCCCGCCGUCGUCGCAGCUUCACCCGAUCAGGUUGCCGUCUACCAUCGCUGCUUCCGCUUGCCUGCCUGGCCCCGCCGUGCCGUUCCUACGCCAUCCUUACCCCUCGAUCCAGCUCCUUCAGCUAGCGUCCAAAACUGAAAGUCUAGCUCUAGCAGUGAGUUGUUAGACCAUUUUCAGCUCGGUCCAAGCCUCAUUGCGCGUCGCCAUAGGCCCGGCCCGAGUCUCGCUCGCCUCAGCGUUGUCGUUGCCGUGAACUCAUCGGCUCGCUAAUCUGGUGAGUUUACUUGCUAAAGGAGGUUAAUUAUGCUUAUGAGAGGUUUAGAUUAGUCUAAGUGAGAUUAGUGUAUUUAUUUAGCUUGGUUAGUUAAUUAGAUUAAUUAGAUAGGUUAAUUAGGUGGUUAGUUAGUUCAAUUAAGUAGUUUAAUUAGAUUAGAUGUAGCUAGGUUGGUUACAUUGAUUUAAUUAGUUCAAUUAGGUGGUUAGAUUAGCUUAGGUAGAUUAAUUAGUGGUUUUAUUUAAUUAUUUUGUAACUUAUUUAAUUAUUUAUUUAUUUUCAAAAAUUACAUUGGGAUAGCUUGUUGUCAGAAUUUUGUGCUGAUUGUCGUUGUAUGAUUAGUUUGUGCAAUUGAUUGUUAAAUUGUGCAAUUGAAUGAUGAUUGUUGAUUUUGAGUUAUUAUUCCAAAAUUAUGGAUUUUUGGUAUUAAUUAGAAAAAUACCGGGUGUGGUUUUUGACGCCAAAAAUGUUUUUAAAUACUAUAUCAAAUCGUGGGAUUUUUAAAUGGGAGAAUAUUACUUUUUAUGGUUAAAUCUGACCGUGUGCCCACACACUAUUAUUUUACCAGGUGUUUUUAAUUUGAAGAAAAUAGGCCAAGUACAUUAUUUAAAUUGAGAUAUUUGAGUACAAAGUACGAUAUCCUUGAUUGGGAUUGGAUAUGCAUGGAAUCGUUAUUGGAACCCGUCACGAGCUUUUAUGCUGGACAAUGCUCCUUCGGGAAUGUCCCACGUCAACGGAUGCUGGUCGCAAUGGAGACUGGGUCGAUGCUCCUUUGGGAAUGCCGUAUAGAUAUAGACGUUGCCAUGCUCGAUGGUGCGAGACAAUGCCCGGCUAUGCCAGAAGACCGCUGACUAUUGAGUCGGCCGUGGCCAUUGGAUCGUAACUACUUGGAACGCUUGAAUGAGUGAUUUGACCGCGCCUGAUUAUGGGACAAAAUUGUAUGGCAUGGAAUGGGACGUGUCAUAAUGAUUUGGCCUUAUAAUCGGGACCCAUGUAUUUGAUUGAUUUGAAAGUGAGGCGUUCCAAUUAUUGAGUGCAUUUACUGCAUAUAUCUGUUAUAUGAGCUUUACUAACGUGUUGGAAGGUGCAGAGGCGAGGUAAGUCUCAUAUGAUAUGUAAUUAGGCUGCCUCUAGGCGUAUUAACUUCCUAAUUGGGGUUUAGGGCGUGAACUCGCUGAGACAUUGUCUCACCUCGUCGUGGUUUACAAUUUUUACAGGUCCCUAGAUGGAAGUUCGUCCGGUUCGUUUUGGGCAGCCGCAGGAGUAUAGCGAGUAAAAUACCGUCUUCCUUGUCCUUGGGAAUCCUUGGACUCGUGAGCUCGUCGUGACCACGAUAUUGGUUGAUGAGGGCCUACUUCAGUUGGUAUCUCAUCGAUUUAAGGCGUGAUUUCGUCACGGGUCUAACGGGGAACGGGAAGGUCCUGUGGAUGGUUUCGACGGACCCGCCAUCGAGGGUGAGGGUGAGGAGGUACUCGACCCUAUCGUGCACGCCGAUAUUAUUGCAAAUAUCGAGGUGAACCAAUUGCCUGAGGAUGAGCAGGAGCCCGAAGUUGAGGAAGUAGCUGACCCGCUAGACAUCGACAUUCCUGACGGUGUCGUAGUGGACCCAGAUCCCAAGUAGGAGGGUUCGGGGUAGGGUUAGCUAGGUAGUCCUUUUUGGGGCCUUGACUUUUGUAUAUAAUUUUGCAGGCUGACCUGGAUGCUUAUAAAAGUGUGGUUUGUUUUAUAUGGUUGUCAUGCUUUUCUAUCCCAUGUUGAUUGUUGUUUGGGGAUUGUUUAUUUGCUUCCGCAUGUGCAUGAAUCGUUUGGGACAGCGACUUGUCCUGAGAACGUCGCAAUUUGAUCGACUAUCGAGGGAUGUGCGCGCGCUCGAGAUUCAAGGCGUGAUAGGAGGUGUAAUUUCUGCUUAUAUAGUCUUUUUAAUUUUUAACAUUAUGAGUAGGGGGCUCGAGGAGAAUGACUGCCAUCCAUAGGUAUAUAGCCACUCGCAUGUGUAUCACCACGAUGAAAAUCUUUCUGUCCUUGUGCUGCAACAAUCCAUGCCUCGGCGCAAGUCGAGAAACAGGGAGAGAACUUGCUGGAGUAGGGCAAGAUCGGAACCCAUGGAACGGCCAGUGAAAGAAAAGAUAAUAAAAAGGAAAAAGAAAAAUUUGCAAAAUUAUGGAAAAAAUUGUAAAAAUUACUCACGUCAGCGCAACCGUUAGCGCUGGCCACUUCACAUAAGUGGUCAAUAGUUGGAUUUCUAGCUGGCCACUUCACAUAAAUGGUCAGUAGUUGGAUCUCUAUAUUAAUGAUUUCUAACCGAAAUUAGAUGAAAAGAUUAUACUGAAAAAUCGUUAAAAGAUUUAUGAUUAAACUUUUUUGAUCUUCCCAUGAACUCAGCACACACGACGAUACGUUGAUGGGGAAGAUCAAACAAGUUUAUUAUUUUAUUGAAAUUCAAGCAAACUCAAACAUAACCAUCAAAGAUGGUUGCGGAGUACUAGGACCAUUAUAUUUAUGCUUUAUCUUUUUGUUUUCUUUUUCUUUGAUCCUCGUGUAAUGGGCAAUAUGCAUGUAUGAAAUCCGUAUUGCGAUCGUGAAAAAUUAAAAUUUUAGAUAAGAUGACACAUGUCACGAGAUUAGUAAUGUGUCAUCAGAUUAGUAAUCUUUAAAUGUUGGUUCCAUCCAUCUGUAGUAAACUAAAAGAAUAUCCUUAAUAUAUAUUUCAAAGUAAAUUAAUGGAGCGAAGACCACAUAAUUGAGAUCGAGAAAUAAGACUAUCAACUCAUUAAAGGAUUCAAGAGAAUCUGUUUUAGAACUUCAAAGCAGAAAAUCCAUGCGUAGAAUUCCCGCAUUACUCGCUAAUUCCUAGCAUUGAAAUACUCUUGCGUAAUCUAACUUGCACAGAGGCUUUCAAAUACAUAGAAAAUCCAUGCAUAAAUUCUUAAUUCUUACAUUACAGGGUACUUGCUAGAAUCGAAAUAUUCCCCGUAAUUUUAACUUAGACAGAGGCUUUCAAAUACAUUAAAUAGAAAAAGCAGGAAAGUGCUUUGCAAAGUAGAUGGUCCGCCAUCAUCUGUCUCUGAUCAUUGCGAAGACCAUUCGUUCUUUAUCAAGUGGCUGUGAGCUUCAAUCAUUCAAGUCAGUGACGUUCUGCGAUAAACAUUACGAUAAAGAAAAGAUAUUUAGAUUAGCAUUUUUAAAAAUUCACAGCACACUAAUACACAUUAGAAACAUUUAGGUAUUCUUGUAGCGUAAUUUUUAUUAAUCUAGCCAAGCCAAUCAUCAUAUAUGCCUCAUGUUAUGAAUUUCCUUAUGUUGAAAAGAUGACACCUUCUCAUGUGGCACUUGGGUGGCAGAUGAGAAUAUUGUCUUUUGAGAGCACCUACAAAUAUAUCUUGAUAUACUCGUUUUAAAGAAAGAAAGUACUCACUCGGAUGAGGGCCAGGGCCUCCGGGGUUCCCUCCCGCUCCACCUACAACAACCAUCAUUCACUUAAUUUUACUUAGACUCAUCCACAAACUCGUUAUGCUACCAAAAAUACCAGUUGCCAAAUCGCCUUUUAUGAUUCAGUAUUUCGAAAGAGUGAAACAUACCUCAAAUGACAACAAUUCAGAUAUCUCAAUUCCAUCAAGAACAAACUACCGAGCUAAACUCACGUAUACAUUACUCACCACAUAAAUGAUAUAUAUAAAUAUAUAUACCAAAAAAAAAAAAAAAGCUUAGAAGUUAGAAGAAAUAACUAGAGAGGAAGACUGACCCAGCGCGGGAGACGGGGCCAUGAUAAUGAAAAUCAAGAGGAAGCACAAAAUUUUGAUAAGAGAGGAGGAGGAGGAGGAGGAGGGAGGAGAAAGCGGUUUUGCCAUUGCUUUGAGUUAUUUCAAGCGCCUUCCUAUUUUUUCAUGUCUAUCUAUAUAUAAGCACCACAAGAUCAUUAGUCAUAACAUUGUAUGAACACCACCAACAAUCAUUGUUCUCAAUUACUUGUGACGCAACACCCGUGACUCUGGCCUCUGGCUUUUGAACGGUUCAACCCCGGAAUGCGAGAGAGACUGGCUUAAUGAGUGAAUCCCCCCAAGUCCUCUCACAUCAAUGUCGUCCCGUUCAAACUCGUGCGCCACCCUUUUUCGACCAAAAGUAAAAACUCGGGCCCCUUUCUCCAACUACUUCCAAGAUAUUGAUUACACGUAUCACAAAAAAAGUCAGAGAUCUAUUGUACGGGCUGGCUCCGUUUCUUAAGAUAUCCAAGCCUAAUAUUUGGAUAAGCUCUCCUGUUCACCUUGACUAGGGCCUCACUCGUUCAUUAAGUUCGUUCAUGCGAAAUCAUGACUGCUUCCAUUUUCUUCCCACUUGCCUUUCUCUUUUGUUAAAUUCCAAACAUCUAAGGCUUCGCGCGUGGUCAAUUUGGUGAGGAAGAUUAGCACUGAUUUGCGCAAUUAGUGUUAAUUUAUAGAAGGAACUAUAGUAAGCACGUUAGUGGCUGGCCAUGUGUUUCAGCGCGCAGCUGAAUAUGGUUAAGACCUAUAAAUGCAAAAACGUGUAUCCAGCAAAAACCUAGUGCUUUGCCAAUUAGUCCUUGUUGCUUUCAAGCCACUCAAGUUUAUAGGUUUUAUGAAAGUCAAUUUUCCAUCUCCCACUAGAAGAGAAAACUACCAUAUAUAUUUUUCAUUUUUUUCAUGAAAAAAAAGAAGGAAUUUCAUCCAAUUUUUGAAAAUGUGAUUGGAAUUCAUCCUCCAUUUCCUGUAUAAAAUAAGUUUAAUGAAUAUCAUUUGAUGAGAUCUAAUGGAAGAAUGUGUAAAAUCUUCAUUUAUUGGAAUGACUUAUCAAUUAGAUCCCGUGUUCAAAUCAGUUGCUCGUCAUUCAUACUUGUAUCUCAACCAAUACCGAAUCACCGAUGCUAUCGAAUUUUCCUUUUUCAAUGCUACUAAAGAUUUGAAGUUCAUUUGGUCGAUAGUGCAUAUAAAUUUUAUUUUACUCUUAGAUAUUUCUCCUUUCCUUUUUUUUUUUCAUUUUUUUUUCACUAGUGAUUUAGGAACUUACCAACUAAUAGAGAAACAGAUACAAAGCUGAAAAUUCACAAGUGUGCAUGCUAAGUCAAAUUCUAAUUUCAACAAGAAAUUAUGACAUUUUACCUUUUAUUUCUGAAUAUUGUUGAAACCUAUCUUUGCUAAAAAAAUUUAAGCUUAUGAGUGAUAAGUUAACAAUGAUAUAUUAAUUUUUGGAAAUAUGACAGUUAAGAUGAAGAGGUUAGUGUUGGUAGUUGUUUGUAAAACAAACUAAGAAGUUCUUGGUCUCAUACUGAAAAGAUAUGAGUGAUGGCUACAAAUUAAGAGGUUACUUCUUCCAUAUCGAUAAGGUAUGAGUGACAGUUAUUUUUUCCAAUGAUUAUUUUUGUAUUUAUCAUUAUCAUUAUUAUUAUUAUUAUUAUUAUUAUUAUUAUUAUUAUUAUUAUUAUUAUUAUUAUUAUUAUUAUUAUUAUUAUUAUUAUUAUUAUUAUUAUUAUUAUUAUUAUUAUUAUUAUUAUUAUUAUUAUUAUUAUUAUUAUUAUUAUUAUUAUUAACUUUGCCUAAUAGUUAUUAGGUGCUCUUACAACCUUUGGAAGGUUCUUUUCAUUCAGACAUAACUUCUUAACCUUUGAAGGGUUGUAUCCAUUCAAACAUAUUUAUUCCCUAAUAUGUAUUCAACAUUUUUGUUUACUAUUUUUCACUCUUCCAUUUUUCGUUUCUCUCAAAAAAAAGAUAUACGGCCUUCUUUUCAAUUGUUUCCCUUUUAAAAGUUCUUGGAAAAAUACUAUAAUUGCUAUAUGGUAUUCUUGCUUGAGAAUUUAUUGUAUCUUGAAGGAUUUUUUCCAGUAACCAUUAGCAAUAUCGUAGAGCAAAUAAUUCUUUAAAGAUAGUGUAUUCAUUCCUCAAAAUCAUAUUCUAUUCUUCUCGAUCAAUUUUUUCCCAACAAUUUUAAGGAAUUAUGUAUGCGACAAUGGAGUUAAAAUCAAUCAAAGUUAUCAAUCAAUACAUGGUGAGAUUGGACUAGUUUGAUGGAGACGAAUUUGCUCGUUGGAGGGACCAGAUGAUGUUUCUUCUCACUAUUUUGAAGAUUUCCUACAUACUGAUCCCAAUUUGACGCCUAUAGGACAUCCGAAAGGAGGACGGCUAAGCGUAGAAGACACUAAAAGGGCCAACAAAGAAUAGAAAAAACGUGAAUAUGAUGAAUUGCAUUGUCGUGGGCACAUUCCGAACACACCAUAUGAUCGUCUAUAAGACUUAUUCACUAAGAUGAAGUCUCUGGAGACAUAGGGAAUGUACUUCAAUUCAAAAACUAAGCGGAGGAGCAAGGUACCAAUAAUUAUUCGAUUGUAAAGCAUUUUGAUUUUAAAUUUAUCGAUACAAAACCCUUGUUGGAGUAAUUCCAUGAAUUGUAUGUGCUUGUCAACAAAAUUCGUUCCCUCAAGAUUGACAUUCCAGAAUUCUUUCAAGUAGGAGUGAUUAUUGCAAAAUCGUCUCCAAAUUGACAAGAUUAUGGAAAAAGGUUGCCGGAUCUAGGCGAGGCUCGAUCUCGUUAUCGCUGAGUGUUAUACCAAAAGAUUUGUGUAUCACUGGGUGGGUUAUGGACCAAAAGCAUUCACAUGAAAUUUAUGGUUCACUUGCCUGCCGCCUGGAAAUCAGGCUCUCAAGCUACUCCACCGCCAAUCAUGGAGGAUGUGAACUAUCGCUAUUGAAUCAACUUGUGCACAUUCAGAUGUUGAUGUGUUACUUCAAUUUGGCACCCCGCCCACACCCUUGAACUAAGCGUGCGCGAUAUGAUAAUGCGGAAGACCAAAAGCUCUUCUUGUAUAAUUGGAAUUCAACCAAUCUCACUCACAACCCACGCAAAGAGAGUUUUGAGGACUAUUAAGACCAUUGUAUUUCCAUGGGUUCUUUGUUCUUUGAUCCACGUCUAGUGGACAAUUCUAACGCAUAAUACACAUAUUUCUGUGGUGAAAAAUCACAAAUUUCGAAUAAGAUGGCCCAUGUCGUAAGAAUAGUAAUGUUUAAACACGGGUUCCAUCAGUCCAUACUAAACCAAAGGACAUCCUUAAUAUAAUUUCCAAGUGAAUCAAUGGAGUGAAAGCCACGUGCUUGAGAUCGAGAAAUAAGCAUAUCAACUCAUCAAAGAUUCAAAAGAAUCUGUUCUAGAACUUCAAAGCUGAAAAAUCCGCGAAUAGACCAAUGUAGAGAUCUUUAUAUUCUUGCAGUUACACGCUACUUCCAAGCAUCAAAAUGUCCUCCAUAAUCUUAAUUUAGACCGAGGCUUUCUUAUACAUUGAUGGAUAACUAAAUAUAAAGGGGUUUGCAAUUCAUAUGAUCCGCUAUUAUGCGUCUCUAAGCCUUGAGGACAUUUUAUUCUUUAUAAAUUGGCUGUGAGCUUCCAUCGUCAUUCAAGUUACGGACGUCCUAUAAUAAACAUCAUGUUAAAGCAAAUAUGUUUAUGUUAGCAUUUUUAGAAAUUCAUCGUACAUUAAUACACACUAGAAACAUUUAGGUACUUUCAUAGCGUAAUUUUAAUCCAUUUAAGUUAAUCACCACAUAUGCCUAACGUUAUGAAUUUCCUCAUUUUGAUAUAACUUCUGAUGUGGUUAUUGAUUUGAAGGGACAAGAAUGUCAUCUUCCGAGAGUAACCAUAAAUAUCUCUUGACAUACUCUUUGUGAAAGGAAGGAAGUACUUGCUACAUCCCUGGCUCUUGUUUAGGUCAUGUGGUUUGCUAUCAUUUUUUUUUUUUUUUUGUCACGGUUUCACUAGCACUUGCAUCAUCCAUAAUUUGCUAAAUUUUACUUAAAUCCAUUCACAAACUCGUCAAUGCUAUUAAAGUGCCAAUUACCAAAUCAGCCUUUGGGAUUUGAUAUUUCGAAAAAGUGAAACAUAAUUCAAAUCGCAAUGAUUUAGAUAUUUGAACAACUACCGAAUUGAACUCACAUACACAAGAUACACAAGAUAAAUCAUAUAACUAAUGUUCGACUACACAUCUAUCUAUGACUUGUAUGUAUUUCCAAGGCAACGAGCCUAGGAGCAAGAAGAAAUAACUAGAGAGGAAGAUUGACCACCGCAUUGGGGGCUACUCAACUCGUGCGAGCAGGUGAAGGGUCAUGAAAAUCAAGAGAAAGCAUAACAUUCUGAUAAGAGAGGAGUAGGAGGAGGGAGAAAGCAGUUUUGCCAUUGCUUUGAGUUAUUUCGAGCGCUUUCCUAUUUUUGCAUGUCUAUGUAUAUAUAACCACCGCAAGAAUCAUUAGUCCGUAUGAACAACAACGUCGUAUUGAAUUACUUGGGACGCAACGCCUGUGACUCUGGGCCUCUCUGGCCUUUGAAUAGGUCAACAGCUAAAUACGUCAAAGACGGGCUGAAAGAGUUAACCCCGCCAAGUGCUCUCGCGUCAAUCUCAUCCCGUUUAACCUCGGGCCACGUUCACAAAGCACUCCCAAAACACUAUUAGUUUGAUCUUAUAUAACAAAAGAACAUCCUUUUUUUUUCUUUUUUUUUUCCCAAAAUAUUGAUUAUAUAUAUCAUAGAAGAAAAAAAAGAAGAAGCCGAGAUCUAGUGAUAUUAAAAAUAAAAAAUUGAACCGUUCAAACUGAAAAUUUCAAGUCGGAUUUCCUUACGUUUCAAGUAAUAAGUAAAAUAAUGGAUUUCUCACCGUUCGGUUUGGUCACAAAGUCAACCCGAAACACCAAAUUAAAUGAAAGAAUGAUGGUGCAAUCUGCACCACGUAUUUUGCCAAGGACUUUGGAUGACUUGCUUGUCUAGUCCAGUAGGAUAUCAAGAAGGAUCCCUCUCAGUGAAAAAGACAUUGGCUACUAGAGGCCGUCACAUCUGACUUUUGCUAUUACUAUGUAUUACUCUCCUUUGCUCCCGCUGCUCUAUUUCAAUUUCUUCUCUCAAUGGAAAUGAAAGAAAUAAAUGAACAAAGCAUAGAAAACAUAAAACAAAAAAUCUCAGGUUGGUCGCAAUUUUAGAGUGUCAAAUAAAACUAUUCUUAUUGAUGAAGAAGAAGAAAUAAACUCCCUUCACCUUUUUGAUUUCAAUCACACCAACGAACUUAGAAAAGACAAAAAAAAAUUCUUCCCUUCUCAAUCUCCAAACUUUGAAAUUGUGUUCUAAUAGACUUGUAUGAUCUCAAAAUUUACAUAAAGAAAAAAAAAUCAUAUGUAUUUCCCCAGGCUUGAAUAGCUCUACAAAAAAUUAGAAAAGAAUAGCAAAAAAUAAUGGAAGAAAACGAACGCUAGCCAAUAAUUUCCUCGAGUCCAGAGAGAGAGAGAGAGAGAGAGAGAGAGAGAGAGAGAGAGAGAGAAUUAAACGAGAGAGUGAUUGUGCAAUCUGCACCACAUAUUUUGUCGAAAACCUUGGAUGACUUGCUUGUUUGGUCCAGUGGGAUAUCAAGAAAAAUCCCCAUCGGUGAAAAAGACAUUGGCUAAUUGAGGCCGUCAUGUUUGACUUUUACUAUUACUUUGCAUUACUCUACUUUGCUCCCGCUGCUCUCUUUCAAUUUCUUCUCUUAAUGGAAAAUGAAAGAAAUAAAUGAACCAAGCACAGAAAACAUAAAACAAAAAAUUCAAGUUGGUCGCCACUUAAGAGUGCCAAAUGAAACUAUUCUUAUUGACGAAUAAGAAGAAAUAAACUCCCCUCACCUUUUUUUUUUUUUUUAUUUCAAUCACGCCAACAAACUCAAAAAAGACAAAAAAAACACAGCUUCUUCCCUUCUCAAUCUCUCAACUUAGAAAUUGUAUUCUAAGUCUAUAAACUUGUAUAAUCUCAGAUACAUAAACAAAGAAAAAUCAUAUGUAUUUCCCCUAGCUUGAAUAGCUCGACAAAAAAUCAGAAAAUAACAGCAAAAAUUAAUGGAAUAAAAUGAACGCUAGCCAAUAAUUUCCUCGAGCCGAGACUAAGAGAGAGAGAAUUAAAUGAAAGAGUGAUGGUGCAAUCUGCACCACAUAUUUUGCUGAAGACCUUGGAUGACUUGCUUGUUUGGUCCAAUAUGAUAUCAAGAAGGAUCCCCCUCAGUGAAAAAGACAUAGGCUACUUGAGGCCGCUACGUCCGACUUUUGCUAUUACUUUGCAUUGCUCUACUCUGCUCCCAUUACUCUAUUGCCGGCUUGUCCAAUUUUCAACCCUCCAUCUGCCGUUGUCUCCAUCGUCGCCUUUGAUCCCAUCGAAGAUGCCGUCGUCUCCGUCGUUGCCUUCAAUCCCGUUGGAUUUGCCAGUGUCAUGGCCUCUACCGUCAUCUUCACUAGUGAUUUAGGAACUUACCAAGUAAUAGAGAGAAACAGAUACAAAGCUGAAAAUUCACAAGUGUGCAUGCUAAGUCAAAUUCUUAUUUCAACAAUAAAUUAUGACAUUUUACCUUUUAUUUCUGAAUAUUGUUUUUUUUUGGUAAAGUUAUUUCUGAAUAUUGUUGAAACCUAUCUUCACUAAAAAAUUUAAGCUCAUGAGUGAUAAGUCAACAAUGAUAUAUUAAUUUUUGGAAAUAUGACAGUUAAGAUGAAGAGGUUAGUGUUGGUAGUUGUUUGUAAAACAAACUAAGAAGUUCUUGGUCUCAUACUGAAAAGAUAUGAGUGAUGGCUACUAAUUAAGAGAUUACUUGUUCCAUAUCGAUAAGGUAUGAGUGACAGUUAUUGUUUCCAAUGAUUAUUUAUUUAUUUAUUUAUUUAUUAUUAUCAUCAUCAUCAUUAUUUACUUUGCCUAAUAGUUAUUAGUUGCUCUUACAACAUUUGGAAGGUUCUUUUCAUUCGGACAUAACUUCUUAACCUUUGAAAGGUUGUAUCCAUUCAAACCUAUUUAUUCCCUAAUAUGUAUUCAACAUUUUUGUUUAUUAUUUUCCACUCUUCCAUUUUUCGUUUCUCUAAAAAAAAAAGAUAUACGGCCUUCUUUUCAAUUGUUUCCCUUUUAAAAAUUUCUUGGAAAAAUACUAUAAUUACUAUAUGGUAUUCUUGCUGGAGAAUUUAUUGUAUCUUGAAGAAUUUUUUCCAAUAACCAUUAGCAAUAUCGUGGAGCAAAUAAUUCUUUAAAGAUAGUGUAUUCAUUCCUCAAAAUCAUAUUCUAUUCUUCUCGAUCAAAUUUUUCCCAACAAUUUUAAGGAAUUAUGUAUGCAACGAUGGAGUUAAAAUCAAAGUUAUCAAUCAAUACAUGGUGAGAUUGGACUAGUUUGAUGGGGACGAAUUUGCUCAUUGGAGGGACAAGAUGAUGUUUCUUCUCACUAUUUUGAAGAUUUCCUACAUACUGAAUCCCAAUUUGACGCCUAUAGGACAUCCGAAAGGAGGAUGGCUAAGCGUAGAAGACAAUAAAAGGGCCAACAAAGAAUAGAAAAAACAUGAAUAUGAUGAAUUGCAUUGUCAUGGGCACAUUCCGAACACACCAUUUGAUCGUCUAUAAGACUUAUUCACUAAGAUGAAGUCUCUAGAGACAUAGGGAAUGUACUUGAAUUCAAAAACUAAGCGGAGGAGCAAGGUACCGAUAAUUAUUCGAUUGUAAAGCAUUUUGAUUUUAAAUUUAUUGAUACAAAACCCUUGUUGGAGUAAUUCCAUGAAUUGUAUGUGCUUGUCAACAAAAUUCGUUCUCUCAAGAUUGACAUUCCAGAAUGCUUUCAAGUAGGAGUGAUUAUUGCAAAAUCGUCUCCAAAUUGACAAGAUUAUGGAAAAAGGUUGCCGGAUCUAGGCGAGGCUCGAUCUCGUUAUCGCUGAGCGUUAUACCAAAAGAUUUGUGUAUCACUGGGUGGGUUAUGGACCAAAAGCAUUCACAUGAAAUUUAUGGUUCACUUGCCUGCCGCCUGGAAAUCAGGAUCUCAAGCUACUCCACCGCCAAUCAUGGAGGAUGUGAACUGUCGCUAUUGAAUCAACUUGUGCACAUUCAGAUGUUGAUGUGUUACUUCAAUUUGGCACCCCGCCCACACCCUUGAACUAAGCGUUGAACUAGGCAUGCGCAAUAUGAUAAUGCGGAAGACCAAAAGCUCUUCAACCAAUCUCACUCACAACCCACGCAAAGAGGGUUUUGAGGACUAUUAAGACCAUUGUAUUUCUAUGGGUUCUUUGUUCUUUGAUCCACGUCUAGUGGACAAUUCUAACGCAUAAUACACAUAUUUCUGUUGUGAAAAAUCACAAAUUUCGAAUGAGAUGGCCCAUGUCGUAAGAAUAGUAAUGUUUAAACACGGGUUCCAUGAAACUAAUCGUACGAUUAUUACAUCCUUAAUAUAAUUUCCAAGUGAAUCAAUGGAGUGAAAGCCACGUACUUGAGAUCGAGAAAUAAGCAUGUCAACUCAUCAAAGGAUUCAAAAGAAUCUGUUCUAGAACUUCAAAGCAGAAAAAUCCGCGAAUAGAUUAAUGCAGAGAUCUUUAUAUUCUUGCAGUUGCACGCUACUUCCAAGCAUCGAAAUGUUCUCCAUAAUCUUAAUUUAGACCGAGGCUUUCUUAUACAUUGAUGGAUAACUAGAGAUAAAGAGGUUUGCGAUUCAUAUGAUCCGCUAUUAUGCGUCUCUAAGCCUUGCCAGGACAUUUUAUUCUUUAUAACUUGGCUGUGAGCUUCCAUCGUCAUUCAAGUCAAGGACGUCCUGCAACAAACAUCAUGUUAAAGAAAAUAUGUUUAUAUUACCAUUUUUAGAAAUUCAUCCUACAUUAAUACACAAAAGAAACAUUUAGGUACACUCAUAGCGUAAUUUUUAUCCAUCUAAGUCAAUCGCCACAUAUGCCUAAUGUUAUGAAUUUCCUCAUUUUGAUAUAACUUCUCAUGUGAUUAUUGAUUUGAGAGGACACGAAUGUCAUCUUUCGAGAGCAACUAUAAAUAUCUCGACAUACUCGUUUUGAAGGAAGAAAGUACUCACUACAUUGUGGGCUCCCCCCUGGUUCAUGUGGAUUGAUAGCACCUACAACAUCCAUAAAUUUGCUCCUUUUGGUGAUUUGAUAUUUCAAAAAAGUGAAACAUAAUUCAAAUCGCAAUGAUUCAGAUAUUUGGAUUUGAGCAGAAAUAACUAAUGAACUGAACUCACAUGAUACACUGCAUAAAUCGUACAACUAGUGUUCAACUACGCAUCUAUCUACGGCUUUUAUGUAUAUCCAAGGGAACGAGCUGAGAACUAAGAAGAAAAAACUAGAGAGGAAGGCCGACCACCGCAUAUGGGGCGACGCCAGGAGCCUCGAUUUGACUAAGAAUAACUACCGAACUGAAUUCAUACAUAGUAAACAACAAAAAAUUGCACCACUCAUGUUCGACUUCACAUCUAUGACUUUACGUAUAUCAAAGGGAAUAAGCUUAGAAGUAAGAAGAAAUACUAGAGAGGAAGACUGACCCCGCACGGGCCAGGACGUAAGGGCGUGAGCAAGUGAAGUGUCAUGAAAAUCAAGAGGAAGCACAAAAUUCUGAUAAGAGAGGAGGAGGAGGGAGAAGAAAGCAGUUUUGCCAUUGCUUUUGAGUUCUUUCAAGCGCUUUCCUUUUUUAUUUUUUAUUUUUUAUUUAUUUCCAUGUAUGUAUAUAUAAGCCCCACAAGAAUCAUUAGUCAUAACAUUAGAUGAACAACAACAACAUCAUACUUAAUUACUUGGGACGCAGCACCCGUGACUCUGGCCCCUGGCUUUUGAUCAGGUCAACCAGCAAAUGCGGAAGAGACGUGCUUAAUGAGUGAAUCUCCCCAAGUCCUCUCACAUCAAUUUCAUCCCGUUCAAACUCGGGAUAUUUAAAAAAAUUGAAACAUAAUUCAAAUCACAACUAUUCAGAUAUUUGGAUCCGAGUAUGAAUAACUACCGAACUGAACUCACAUAUACGUAAUACACAGCAUAAAUCAUACAACUAAUGUUUGACUUCACAUCUGUCGAUGACUUCUAUGUAUAUCCAAAGGAACUAGCUUAGGAGUAAGAAGUAAUAACUAGAGAGGAAGACUGACCACCGCAUACGGGGCCCCUCCCUAUAGCUAGUGCGAGCAAGUGAAGGGUCAUGAAAAUCAAGAGAAAGCACAACAUUCUGAUAAGAAAGGAGGAGGAGAAGGAGGGAGAAAGUAGCUUUGCCAUUGCUUUGAGUUAUUUCGAGCACUUUCCUAUUUUUUUCAUGUCUAUGUAUAUAUAAGCACUACAAGAAUCAUUACUCAUAACGUUGCAUGAACAACAACGUCGCACUUAAUUACUUGGGAUGCAACACCCGUGACUCUGGGUCUCUCUGACUUUUGAACAGGUCAACAGCUAAAUGCGUCAGAGACGAGCUGAAAGAGUGAACCCCGCCAAGUGCUCUCACGUCAAUCUCAUCCCGUUCAACCUCAGGCCACGUUCACAAAGCACUCCCAAAACACUAUUAAUUUGAUCUUAUAUAACAAAGAACGUCCUUUUUUUUUUCCCAAAAUAUUGAUUAUAUAUAUCAUAGAAGAAAAGAAGAAGUCGAGAUCUAGGGAUAUUAAACAAAAAUAAAAUAAAAAUGAACCAUUCAAACUGAAAAUUUCGAGUUGGAUUUCCUUACGUUUCGAGUAAUAAGUAAAACAAUGGGUUUCUGGUGGCUCAGUUUGCUCACAAAGUCAACCCUAAACAUGUAAUUAAACGAAAGAGUGACGGUGCAAUCUGCACCACAUAUUUUGCCGAGGACAUUGGAUGACUUGCUUGUCCAGUCAAGUAGGAUAUCAAGAAGGAUCCCUCUCUGUGAAAAAGACAUUAGCUACUAGAGGCCGCCACAUCUGACUUUUGCUAUUACUUUGUACUACUCUGCUCUGCUCCCGCUACUCUCUUUCAAUUUCUUCUCUCAAUGGAAAAGAAAGAAAUAAAUGAACGAAGCACAGAAAACAUAAAACAUAAAACAUAAAAUCUCAAGUUGGUCUCAACUUCAGAGUACCAAAUGAAACUAUUCUUAUUGAUGAUGAAGAAGAAAUAAACUCCCCCUGCCUUUUUUUAUUUCAAUCACGCCAAUGAACUCGGAAAAGAAAAAAAAAACACAGCUUCUUCCCUUCAUGAUCUCCCAACUCAGAAAUUGUAUUCAAAUAGACUUGUAUGAUCUCAGAAUUUACAUAAAGAAAGAAAAAUCAUGAUUGCACCGUCACUUUUUCAUUUAAUUCUCUCUCUCUCUCUCUCUCUCUCUCUCUCUCGGCUCAAGGAAAUUAUUGGCUAGCAUUCGUUUUCUUCCAUUAAUUUUUGUUAUUCUUUUCUGAUUUUUCGUCGAGCUAUUUGAGCAAGGGGAAAUACAUAUGAUUGUGACGGUGCAAUCUACACCACAUUUUUUGUCAAAGACCUUAAAUGACUUGCUUGUCUGGUCCAGGAUAUCAAGAAGGACCCCCCUUAGUGAAAAAGAUAUUGGCUGCUUGAGGCUGCCACUUCUGACUUCUGCUAUUACUCCGCACUCCUCUACUAUGCUCUCGCUACUCUCUUUCAAUUUCUUGUCUCAAUGGAAAUGAAAGAACUAAAUGAACAGAGCAUAGAAAACAUAAAACUAAAUAUCUCAAGUUGGUCGCAACUUCAUAUUGAUGAAGAAGAAGAAAUAAACUCCUCUCACCUUUUUUAUUUCAAUUGCACCAACGAACUCAGAAAAGACAAAAAAACACAGUUUCUUCCAUUCUCAAUCUCCCAACUCUGAAAUUGUAUUCUAAUAGACUAGUAUGAUCUCAUAAUUUACAUAAGAAAAAAAAUAAUAUGUAUUUCUCCUGGCUUGAAUAGCUCAACAAAAAAUCAGAAAAGAAUAGCAAAAAAUUAAUGGAAGAAAACGAACGUUAGCCAGUAAUUUGCUCGAGAGAGAGAGAGAGAGAGAGAGAGAGAGAGAGAGAGAGAGAGAGAGAGAGAGAGAGAGAGAGAGAGAGAGAGAGAGAGAGAGAGAUAAUUAAAUGAAAGAGUGACGAUGCAAUCUACACCACAUUUUUUUGUUGAAGACCUUGGAUGACUUGCUUGUCCGGUCCAGUAGGAUAUCAAGAAGGAUCCCUCUAAAUGAAAAAGACAUUACCUACUAGAGGCCGCCACAUCUGACUUUUGCUAUUACUUUGUACUACUCUGCUCUGCUCCCGCUACUCUCUUUCAAUUUCUUCUCACAAUGGAAAUGAAAGAAAUAAAUGAAUGAAGCACAAAAAACAUAAAACAUAAAAUCUCAAGUUGGUCUCAACUUUAGGGUACCAAAUGAAACUAUUCUUACUGAAGAAGAAGAAGCAAUAAACUCCCCCCACCUUUUUUUUAUUUCAAUCACACCAACAAACUCGGAAAAGAAAAAAAGAACACAGCUUCUUCCCUUCAUUAUCUCCCAACUCAGAAAUUGUAUUCAAAUAGACUUGAUCUCAGAAUUUACAUAAAGAAAGAAAAAUCAUAUAUAUUGGAAAAGUCAAAUGCACGAAAACUUUGAAACAUAUAAAAGUGAAAUUAGGCUAAAUGGUUGAGAAAGACAAAGCAUACUUAGCAUUCUGAAAUAAAGAAAAAAUGAUGUAAAUGGUCACUGGACUUCAGUAUAAUGUACAAUGUUAUUCCCAAAUUUCUAAUUUAUUUAUAUGAUCCUUAAAUUUUUAUUAAUAUCUUGGACAUAGAGCUUCUCAUAAGAUCUAAAAACUAUAUUAAAUACCUCAUUGAACAAAUUUAAAAAUUGAAAAUGACAUUAUACAUUAGGUAAAAAUUAAUGAAUUUUAUUAUAUAAAUUAAAAAUUAAUAGACAAUAUUAAAUGUUAAAUCAAAAUUUAAAAAUAGUUUAUGUUAUGAACCCUAAAGUCAACGAUUCGCAUGAACUCAGCGACGUGCGUAGUAGGAAGGGCGCGUUUGGUAACGAUUCUGUUUCCGAGAGUAGAUUCUGAUCAGAAAUGAUUCUUUUUUAUUCUGUUCCCGGGAACUGAUUCUAAGCAUUUUAAGCCGUUUGAUAACUGUCCAAAAUUUCUGAUUCUAGAAUAGAAAUGCGUUUGGUACCAUGCUUAUUAAUUAUGUUUCAAAUCAAUUUCUUUUAAUUUUUAAAUAAUUUUUUUUUUACUUUUUUCUUUUCUUUUUUUCCUUUUUCUCCUAUUCUUCUUCUUCUUCUUCUUCUUCUUCUUCUUCUUCUUCUUCUUCUUAGCUGGGCGAGGCUCUCCUAGCCUUGCCGGUGGCUAGGCCGGCCUAGCCGGGGCUGGGUGAGGCCUGCCUAGCCACCGGCGGGGCUGGGCAAGCCUCGCUUGGCCAUCGGCGGGGCUGGGCGGGUGUCCUUGUUGCCGUAUGCCAGAGCUUCGACCAUUGCCCGCCGAAUGCCGUCGUCUCGCCACACCGACGCUACCCAACUCCUGCUCUGCUCUGUCUUGCCAGAAACUGCCACUGCCGCGCGAUUUGACGCCCGAGCCACUCCUGCCCUGAUCUGUCCGUGAUCACUCAGUGCCGACCGGCUUCUGCUCCACCUCGCAUGCAACCCGUGACUCACAGAUCUCGUGUCCGCAAGCCCACCUUGCCGCGUCUCCAACGAAGCCACCGCCUUGUUGCACCGCGAUGCCGCUUCUGUUUUGCCAUUAGCCCGAAGCUCCACCGUCGCUUGCCCCCUUGCGACACCAGCACCCACGGCCGCGCUUGGCGAGGCUCGCUUGGCCACCGGCGAGGCUGGGCGAGCCUCGCCGGACCGGCGGAUGGCGGCCGGCGGCAGGGGGCAGCGGUCGGCGACGGCAGACGGUGGCGGGCGGUGGUGGACGGCAGUCGUGAGAUGGCCGAAGGGAAGAAGAAGAGUUGUUGGUUUUGAUUCUCAAAUUUGUUCCCAAAACAAGAAUCAACUUUUUUUUUAUUCUUGAUUCCACUCCCAAUCUAUUCCCGAGAACAAAAAUUUUACCAAACGCGAUUCUAGGCUCAAACUGAUUCUGGGAACAAAGAAUAAGAAUUUGACCCUGUUUGGAUGGUUACCAAACAUGGCCUAAGUGGAGGGAGAAGGGGGUAGUGGGGUGGUCAAAGGCGUGGGAUCUAGAAAGUGCACCUGAUUCGCGGAAGGCGUGCGACGCAUACCGCGGGAUCGGCAACACAUGGCAAAGGAGAAGGGAGAAGGUGGGCGAGAUCUCUUCAGGCGAUUUCCUCGACUCCCUCCCCACGUGAGAGUCCGCGGACGGCCUUUACUAUACAUUGAUGGAUAACAAGAGAUAAAGAGGUUUGCGAUUCAUAUGAUCCGCUAUUAUGCGUCUCUAAGCCUUGCCAGGACAUUUUAUUCUUUAUAACUUGGCUGUGAGCGUCCAUCGUCAUUCAAGUCAAGGACGUCCUGCAACAAACAUCAUGUUAAAGAAAAUAUGUUUAUAUUACCAUUUUUAGAAAUUCAUCCUACAUUAAUACACAAAAGAAACAUUUAGGUACACUCAUAGCGUAAUUUUUAUCCACCUAAGUCAAUCGCCACAUAUGCCUAAUGUUAUGAAUUUCCUCAUUUUGAUAUAACUUCUCAUGUGGUUAUUGAUUUGAAGGGAUAAAAAUGUCAUCUUUUGAGAGCAACCAUAACUAUCUCUUGACAUACUCGUUUUGAAAGGAAUAAAGUGCUCGCUGCAUCCCUAGUUCCUGUUUGGGUCAUGUGGUUCGCUAUCAUUUUUUUUUUUGUCGCAGUUUCACUAGCACUUGCAACAUCCACAAUUUGCUAAAUUAUACUUAAAUCCAUUCACAAGCUCGUCAAUGCUAUUAAAGUGCCAAUUACCAAAUCAGCCUUUGCGAUUUGAUAUUUCAAAAAGGUGAAACAUAAUUUAAAUCGCAAUGAUUUAGAUAUUUGGAUCCAAGUAUGAACAACUACCGAAUUGAACUCACAUAUACAUGAUACACAACAUAAAUCGUACAACUAAUGUUCAACUACACAUCUAUCUAUGACUCGUUUGUAUAUCCAAGGCGACAAGCCUAGGAGCAAGAAGAAAUAACUAGAGAGGAAGAUUGACCACCGCAUUCGAGGCUACUCCCUAUAACUCGUGCGAGCAGGUGAAGGGUCAGGAAAAUCAAGAGAAAGCAUAACAUUCUGAUAAGAGAGGAGUAAGAGGAGGGAGAAAGCAGUUUUGCCAUUGCUUUGAGUUAUUUCGAGCACUUUCCUAUUUUUUCAUGUCUAUGUAUAUGUAACCACCACAAGAAUCAUUAGUCCUAACGUUGUAUGAACAACAGCGUCGUACUGAAUUACUUGGGACGCACCACCCGUGACUCUGGGUCUCUCUGGCUUUUGAACAAGUCACCAGCUAAAUGCGUCAGAGACGGGCCGAAAGAGUGAACCCCGCCAAGUGCUCUCACGUCAAGAGUAAUGUGGAGUGUAUUGACUGGCCAUCUUUUGUCCCCCCACCUCCGCAAGAGCUGGCCUGAAAGAGUGAACCCACCAAGUGCUCUCACAUCAAUUUCAUCCCGUUCAACCUCAGGCCACGUUUACAAAGCACCCGCAAGACACUAUUAAUUUAAUCUUAUUUAACAAAAGAACGCCUUUUAAAAAAAAAAUAUUGAUUACAUAUGUCACUGGAAAUAAAAGAAGCCGAGAUCUAGGAAUAUAAAAGAAACCAACUGUCCGAAUCGAAAAUUUCGGGUCGAAUUUCCUUAGGUUUUGGGUAGUAAGUAAAACAAUGGAUUUCUGAUGGUUCAGUUUGGUUUUUGAAUCAUAAAGCUGACCUGAAACACAUAACUGAAUAUGCUUCAAAAUCAAAAUAAUCGAAGUAAAAUGCUAAGCACGUUGACGAACAUAGAAAAAGGAACCAUAACUUUCUUGCCGGCUUGUCCAAUUUUCGACCCUCCAUCUGCCGUCGUCUCCAUCGUCGCCUUCAAUCCCGUUGGAUAUGCCGGUGUCGUGGCCUCUACCGUCAUCCUCACUGCCUCUGUUGUAGCUGAUGUAAUAUGAACGCGGAAGCUAACCGGCACGCACGUCUCGCCGGCUUCUGCUUGUUCUUCGUGCGGGGGCUCCUAAAGGAGAGCUGCUGUGGGGUUGGUUAGCCGCGCGUGUGAAGGAAGCAAAAGCCAUCAGAGAAAAAUAAAAUUUAUUUCAAGACCACUUCUCACCGCCACAAUUAAAUUCAGAUCAGUUUAUUUCAAUGAAAUCUUCGUGAUAGAGAAAAAUAUUUUCUUGAAAAUUAUUUUGAAGAAAAAUGGUUAGUUUCUAUUAUUUGGUGGUAUAUAGAAAGUAAUUUCCUUCUUUGCCAAAAUGGGAAGUUGUUUUCGCCCAUAUCGAGCCGAUUGUCUAGCAAAGGAGGGAAUAUUCUCGGCGAACGGUGACAUACUUCACCAAAAGGAGAAUUCGAUCCGGGUAGGGAAUGAACGAAGGCUAGCCAAAGUAUAUGUUUAUGCCCACGAUACAGUUUGAGGAGAUGGGAUAGUGACUCUUGCCAUGGCUAAGGAAUAACAUCCUCUCUGAUUUCGGGGACACAACUAUAAAUGCUCAAAUAGAGUGCAAGAAAUGUAAUAAGAUGAGCCACUCUAACUCAAGCCAGCCAGCCAUAGCAUAAUUGCACGUAAGAAAGCAAUAUUUAUGAUUCACGACUACGUAUAUAAAUUGACCUCGGUCGAAUUGGCAUACUAUGGCACGUUUCUUAUGAAUGAUUUUCAUCGUCAUGUAAAAAUUAUUCUGGAAGAAAAGACGUAAAAGAAAGAGCCCUCAUAUGGGAGGCGUAAUUUCUGCUCAUGUAGUCUUUUUAAUUUUUAACAUUAUGAUUAGGGGGCUCGAGGAGAAUGACUGCCAUCCACAGGUAUAUAGCCAUUCGCAUGUGUAUCGCCACGAUGAAAAUCUUUCUGUCCCUGUGCUGCAACAAUGCAUGCCACGGCGCAAGUCGAGAAACAGAGAGAGAACUUGCCGGAGUAGGGCAAGACUGGAACCACGGAACGGCGGAGCUUCGAGGGAGAGCUGAAGGUCAUGACCAACGUGGAGCACCAGAUGAGGAUGACGAUACGGGAAGAGGAGGAAGAGCCUUGCUCAUUGCCAUCCUUCACGUUUUGAGCUUGUUAUAAACUUUUGGGAUGCGAAAUGGCAAAGCACCCUUUGCAAUUUACAAUGAAGGAUGAGAUUGCCAAAUGAGAUUCAUUCCUUAUUUGAGUGGGGUACGAGUUUGACGAAGAAGCUAGGUGGUUUAAAUACUGACCGACUACAUAGUGAAUUGAUUACAACAUUGACCCAUGCUUGUGUUGAUUUUUUUUUUUUUACUGUUUAGCAUUCUUUUUGGCUCUCUUUUAAGAUACUAUUUGUUUCAUGAAAAAUAAAUUAUUCAGAAAAUAUUUUCCUGAAAAGUAUUGCUUAUAUAUAUUAUUUACAAACAUAAAUAAACAAAGAAUAUUUUCGUCAUCCAUGAAAAUAUCUAGACAUGAAUUGUUAUCGAUAAUAAAGACAUUUUUCAUCGAUUAAUAUUAUAAGUUGAAUCAAAUCCAUGUACUUUGGCUAGAAUUGUUCUUAGCAUCCACCGCAUACGAGAAGGUAAACAUAAUUUAUUUAAGAUAAUCCUGAUUAACUGAAUGAUGUGGUCUCUUUUUUUCAGACACUUGCACUUCGAUUUCAAUUCCAAUUCUCAUAGUUUGUAGUUAUAAUGUAAGGAUAAUAACUCAUAUAAUAUAUCGAUAGCUUAUAAAUAAUCAGACACAUAAAAAUGAUAGAGAGCUGAUUAAAUACUAUUCUCUCCAUAUCCCCAACACCAUUCCUCUAACUUCAUCUUCUCCUAGGAAAUAUGGUAUAAUACCAAUUUUCAAAGCUCUAUCUCUAUAGUUAAAAUCCCAAUAAUCAUCCAAUAACAUGUUUCUCCAUUAACAGAAAAAGAUGAGAUUUGUAUAAUGCUUAAUCCAUGAAUCGUUAAUCUGCCACUAGUCAUGGAGGAUCCGAGCUCAAUUGUUGGAAUUGAGCAAGUACAAAUUCAGAUGGCCAUUUGACUCUUCGAUUUGGUACCCCACCCACAUCUUGAAUGGGAAAAUUAUUCAAAAAGUUUUAAACCUAUUUUACGACGGUUAAUUCAAUAGUGACUGGCAACCGACCACAAAUGAGGACCACACUCACCUAGUGAAAGAAAGAGAAGAAAAAGAAAAAGAAAAAUCUCCCAAAUUAUGAAAAAAAUUGUAAAAAUUAUUAACUUAAGCGCGACCAUUAGCGCUUGCCACUUCACAUAAAUGGUAAAUGAUUGAAUCUCUACAUUAACGAUUUCUAACCAAAAUUAAAUGAAAAUAUUAUACUGAAGAAUUGUCAAAAGGUUUAUAAUUAAAUUAAUCAAGUUUAUAACGGAAUUAAGUGAAUUGAAUUAUCUCCCCUGUGAACUCAGCACGCACGACGAUACGUUGAUGGGGAAGAUCAAAAAAGUUAUUAUUUUAUUGAAAUUCAAGCAAACUCAAAGAUAACCAUCGCAAAGAUGGUUGUGGAGUACUAGGACCAUUAUAUUUAUGUUUUGUCCUUUUGUUUUCUUUUUCUUUGAUCCACGUGUCAUGGGCAAUAUGCAUGUAUGAAAUCCGUAUUGCGAUCGUGAAAAAUUAAAACUUCAGAUCAUAUGACACACAUGUCAUGAGAUUAGUGAUGUGUCAUCAGAUUAGUAAUCUUUAAAUGUGGGUUCCAUCCAUCCACAGUAAACUAAAAGAAUAUCCCUAAUAUAUAUUUCAAAGUAAAUUAAUGGAGCGAAGACCACAUAAUUGAGAUCGAGAAAUAAGAAUAUCAACUCAUCAAAGAUUCAAGAGAAUCUGUUUUAGAACUUCAAAGCAGAAAAUCCAUGCGUAGAAUUCCUGCAUUACUCGCUAAUUCCUGGCAUCGAAAUACUCUUGCGUAAUCUAACUUGCACAGAGGCUUUCAAAUACAUUAAUAGAAAAUCCACGCAUAAAUUCUUAAUUCUUACAUUACACAGUACUUGCUAGAAUCGAAAUAUUCCCCGUAAUUUUAACUUAGACAGAGGCUUUCAAAUCCAUUAAAUAGAAAAACCAGGAAAGUGCUUUGCAAAGUAGAUGGUCCACUAUCACGUGUCUCCGAUCAUUGCGAAGACCAUUCGUUCUCUAUCAAGUGGCUGUGAGCUUCAAUCAUUCAAGUCAGUGACGUCCUGCGAUAAACAUUACGAUGAAGAAAAGAUAUUUAUAUUAGCAUUUUUAGAAAUUCACAGCACACUAAUACACAUGAGAAACAUUUAGGUACUCUUGUAGCGUAAUCCUUAUCCACCCAAGCCAAUCACCACAUAUGCCUCAUGUUAUGAAUUUCCUUAUGUUGAUAAGAUGACACCUUCUCAUGUGGCAAUUGGGUGGCGGAUGAGAAUAUUGUCUUUCAAGAGCACCUACAAAUAUAUCUUGAUAUACUCGUUUUAAAGAAAGAAAGUACUCACUGCAUCCAGGGCUGUGGGGUGGGUCAGGCGUUUUCGGGGAACCUACAACAACCAUCAUUUGCUUAGUUUUACUUAGACUCAUCCACAAACCCGUUAUGCUACCAGAAGUACCAGUUGCCAAAUCGCCCUUUAUGAUUCAAUAUUUCGAAAAAGCGAAACAUACCUCAAAUGGCAACAAUUCAAAUAUCUCGAUUACUGAACUGAACUCACAUAUACAUUGCUCACCGCAUAAAUUAUAUAUAUAUAUAUAUAUAUAUAUAUAUAUAUAUAUUAAAAAAAGGCUUAGAAGUUAGAAGAAAUAACUAGAGAGGAAGACUGACCCGAGCACUUGCUAGGAGCCGAGUGCGAGAGCAAGGGAAGGGUCAUGAAAAUCAAGAGGUAGCACAAAAUUCUGAUAAGAGAGGAGGAGGAUGAGGACGAGGAGGGAGGAGAAAGCAGUUUUGCCAUUGCUUUGAGUUAUUUCAAGCGCCUUAUUAUUUUUUCAUUUCUAUCUAUAUAUAAGCACGACAAGAUCACUAGUCAUAACAUCGUAUGAACACCACCAACAACCACUGUUCUCAAUUAAUUGUGACGCAACACCCGUGACUCUGGCCUCUGGCUUUUGAACGGGUCAACCCCUGAAUGCGUGAGAGAGUGGCUUAAUGAGUGAAUCCCCCCAAGUCCUCUCACAUCAAUGUCGUCCCGUUCAAACUCGUGCGCCACCCUUUUUCGACCAAAUGUAAAAACUCGGGCCCCUUUCUCCAACCACUUCCAAAAUAUUGAUUACACGUAUCGCGAAAAAAAGUCAGAGAUCUAGUGGUAUCGAAAACGAACCGCCCAUCUCCCCCAAUUUGCUGGCUUGUCCAAUUUCGACCCACUAUCGGCCGUCGUCUCUGUUGCCGCCUUCGAUUCCAUCGUAUAUGCUGAUGCCGUGGUUUCUACCAUCAUCUUCAUUGCCUUUGCUGUAUCUAUCCUUCUGCAUCCCUCGUACUUCACCCCGAUGCCACGGAACCCCAAUCUGACCAUGACGCAAGCAUAUGCAAUUUUUUACGAUAUCGACCCACGCCCGUGUUGGUUUCUUUAGUAAUGAAGCCUAUUGUAACUUACAAUAUUUGGAUAAGCUCUCCUGUUCACCUUGACUAGGGCCUCACUCGUUCAUUAAGUUCGUUCAUGUGAAAUCGUGACUGCUUCCAUUUUCUUCUCACUUGCCCUUCUCUUUUGUUAAAUUCCAAACAUCUAAGGCUUCGCGCGUGGUCAAUUUGGUGAAGAAGUAUUGGCACUGAUUUGCGCAAUUAGUGUUAAUUUAUAGAAGGGAUUAUAGUAAACACGUUAGUGGCUAGCCAUGUGUUUCAGCGCGCAGAUGAAUAUGGCUAAGACCUAUAAACGCAAAAACACGUACCCGGCAAAAACCUAGUGCUUUGCCAAUUGGUCCUUAUUGCUUUUAAGCGACUCAAGUUUAUAGGUUUUAUGAAAGUCAAUUUUCCAUAUCCCACUACAAGAGAAAACUACCAUAUAUAUUUUUCAUUUUUUUCAUGAAAAAAAGAAGGAAUUUCAUCCAAUUUUUGAAAAUGUGAUUGGAAUUCAUCCUCCAUUUCCUAUAAAAAUAAGUUUGAUGAAUAUCAUUUGAUGAGAUCUAAUGGAAGAAUGUGUAAAAUCUUCAUUUACUGGAAUGACUUAUCAAUUAGAUCCCGUUUCAAAUUAGUUGCUCGCCAUUCAUACUCAUAUCUUGACCAAUACCGAAUCACCAAUUCUAUCGAAUUUUCCUUUUUCAAUGCUACUAAAGAUUUGAAGUUUAUCUAGUCAAUAGUGCAUAUGAAUUUUAUUUUACUCUUAGAUAUUUCUCCUUUCUUUUUUUAAUUCACUAGUGAUUUAGGAACUUACCAAGUAAUAGAGAGAAACAGAUACAAAGCUGAAAAUUCACAAGUGUGCAUGCUAAGUCAAAUUCUAAUUUCAACAAUAAAUUAUGACAUUUUACCUUUUAUUUCUGAAUAAGCUUAGAAGUAAGAAGAAAUACUAGAGAGGAAGGCCGACCACCGCAUAUGGGGCGACGCCAGGAGCCUCGAUUUGACUAAGAAUAACUACCGAACUGAAUUCAUACAUAGUAAACAACAAAAAAUUGCACCACUCAUGUUCGACUCCACAUCUAUGACUUUACGUAUAUCAAAGGGAAUAAGCUUAGAAGUAAGAAGAAAUACUAGAGAGGAAGACUGACCCCGCACGGGCCAGGACGUAAGGGCGUGAGCAAGUGAAGUGUCAUGAAAAUCAAGAGGAAGCACAAAAUUCUGAUAAGAGAGGAGGAGGCGGGAGAAGAAAGCAGUUUUGCCAUUGCUUUUGAGUUCUUUCAAGCGCUUUCCUUUUUUAUUUUUUAUUUUUUAUUUAUUUCCAUGUAUUUAUAUAUAAGCCCCACAAGAAUCAUUAGUCAUAACAUUAGAUGAACAACAACAACAUCAUACUUAAUUACUUGGGACGCAGCACCCGUGACUCUGGCCCCUGGCUUUUGAACAGGUCAACCAGUAAAUGCGUAAGAGACGUGCUUAAUGAGUGAAUCUCCCCAAAUCCUUUCACAUCAAUUUCAUCCCGUUCAAAGUAGAUGAUUCGCUAUCAC
rnacentral:lncRNA from 1 species